CCCUGGAGCAUUGGUAGAGCGCUCCACCUGUAAUGGAGAGGUCCCGGGUUCGAUACCCGGACCAGGCG
rnacentral:tRNA from 1 species